GCCUUCGUGGUGUAAUGGUCAACACACUCUUUGCGUAUUCGAGAAGUCCCAGGUUCUAGUCCCGGCGCGGGUA
rnacentral:tRNA from 1 species